UGCCGCCUGCCUCUCAUUUCCACUGACAGUGAGUGUUAGAGAGUGGCACUAGAGAGUGGCGGGUCAUGGUAAAUGACAUGAUGGAAAAGACUGGGAACUGGGAGGGUUCUGGAAGACCCCUCUGUGGAUAGCAUUGAAAAUGAAACCGGGAAGGCAAAUGGAUGUGAUUUGUCCCCAAGUUUCAUGUUAGGUGUACAGCCAUGAGACCUACAGGCAGCUUCUGACCUGGAUCCAUACAUCCAGUGUCGACCCAACACACCAAACAAUGAGGCACAAGGAGAGGAGUUAUGAAGGGAUCCAGGAUGAGUGGAACCUGAUACCCCCGGUCUCUUGUCCCUGAGGAUUGGAACAGGAUCCCAAGAAGUUAGGUUAAGCAGAGUAAAACCUUUGGGCCCAAGCAUCAUAUACUAAGGGAAAGGUCUGGCUGAAAGCCUUGCACACCCCCCAAGCCCAUUCUUGUAGUCUUUCUGACCCUAGCCUGAGACACAUUUAGUCAAGGAGUAUGUGACCCAAAGGGCUAGGAAGUCCUUCCCUGAGAUUUGUCAACCUGAGGUCUCUCUAUACCCAGCAAUGACCUGUUGUAACCCACUGUGUUUUCAAUGCUGCAUACAAAUGCUCCCACUCCAAGCAGAUAUUUGUGCAACCUGGAGAAAUGUAAGGGCCAUAGACCUGAAAUGUGUCCAAACACUGGUUUUGGACAACCCAAGUUCAAAUGCUGCCUCCAUCACCAAUUUCAGGUAUGAUCUUGGGCACAUCACUUGGGCAUGCAGCUCCUGUCAUGAUGAUGGUGUAGAAUGUUCUGACCUACACUGAUUGAGGUCGCCCCCAGUCCUAGCAGCUGUUGCCAUCAGUGAAGGGUAUCUGCUGGGCAGCAUGUGGCCUUGGGCAAGAAACUCCAUUCCCCUGAGCAACUUCACUCUGUGUGAAGAGGAUUUGCUAUGCAGACAACAUGUGCAGUGCCUGACACAAUGCAGAUCAUUAACUCUUGUCCUCUUCCACUCCAGCUCCUGGGAGGACAAUUUUCCAAAGCUGGAUAUAGGUCCCCUCCCUUGACUGUACCUCACUAGCAGACAACCCCUCCUAUACUGCCUUGUCUGUGCCAGUUUGCCCCAGCUGGCAGGUCCUGAUGUCAGCAGUUAAUCUGGGACAACUGCCAGCCAGAGACAAGAGUGAGCAGCAGAGUACAUCAGAAGCAGGCUUUCAAGUUGGGGGCCCUAGCCUUGAGUUCUCAUCAGCUUCUCACUGCAGCAAAUCCCCCCAGCCAUUCAGGCUGACACCCGGGCUCCUUAGGAUUAAGUCAGGGCAGAGCAGCACCGGGGACAGACCAGUGAGCCACUGCUUAGCCUUGUUUCAGGUUCCUCCCAACUUGGUCAGGGCAUCCACUCCAGCUGGGAAUCCAGGCUGACAUCAAGGGUGCAGGCUGGUGGGGAAGGGUCGAUGGUCCUUGGUCUGCUGCCUACAGCUGGCACUGCCUCUCAGAGCACAAGGCUUGUACACCAUUCCUUGAUAUCCUCAUGUCCCAGCCUCAGGCACCGUAAUGGACAUCCUCGUUUUACAGAGGAAGACAUCAAGGUUCAGGGAGGUCUUAGGCAACUUGCCCAAGAUCCACUAAAUAUCAGAGCUGAGAUUCAAACCCAGACCUAGUGACUCCUACACCCUGGCUCUUUUUGUCACCUUAUCUGGCUGAAGCUGGCUCUCCUGUGCCUGUCUGUGCUAGAUAGCCCCUCCCUCCAACUCCCUUGGGUCAGGGGAGGUCAAGUCGACCAAAGCAGCCAGACCAAGUUCUGAUCUGACAUCUCCCCAUGGGCUGCCUGAGCCACCCUGGCCAGCAGCAAGGAGAGGAGAAAAAGCCUGAUGUUUGUCCUUUGUAGUGAGCCAAGAUCUUUGUGGUGACCACAUUUGAUCUACUUGACCAGGUUCAGAGAGGGAAAGUGACUUUCCUGAAGCCACACUGCUUUUCCACCAUAAAACUCCUCCUCGAUCCUGUCCAUCCAGCUGGACCCUAUAACCUCAGGUCCUGUGAUCUACCCUCCUCUAGGUCCAUCUCUCUCCUUUCUUCCCUCCCUCAUGGCAUGUUUGGGUGCCAGGGUCAGAUGCCUUAGAUAACAAAGGCCUUGGAAGUCAUCUCAUCUGGACCUCCCUGCCUGGAUGGGAAGGUCUGAGACCUAGAGAGGGAAAUGAGCUACCUGUGGACACAAGCAAAAUGGGGCUUGGGUUGGGAGGCCCUGCAUUGCCACACCCUCUGCUCUCCUGAACUCAGGCCCAAGCUGGGGGCCUUUCACUUGGGUAGAGCAUUGGUUGUCAAACCUGAGCUCAUACACAACUAGAAAUCAGCCCUAGCCAGGGAUCUGUGGCGCACAGUUGGUUAGGUGCCUGUUCAAUCCUUGGUACAAAAAAAAAGGGAGAGGAAAAAAUAUCAUGCAGGCAUGGUGGCACACACCUGUAAUCCCAGUGGCUCAGGAGGCUGAGGCAAGAGGAUCAUGAGUUCAAAGCCAGCCUCAGCAACAGUGAGAUGCUAAGUAACUCAGUGAUACCCUGUCUCUAAAUAUAAUACAAAAUAGGGCUGGGGAUGUGGCUCAGUGGUUGAGUGCCCCUGAAUUUAAUCCCUGGUAUCCCCCCCAAAAAAAUAAAAUAAAAAUCAGUCCCAGCUCCACCUUGCUGUGUAACCUCACAGAAACCUAUGGCUCUCUGAGUCCCCUCUUUCUUAUAAAUACUAUGAAGAUCGGGACUCCACACCUGCCCACUUGUCAGGGUCAUUGCAGGGGUCACAGGAGAAAAUGACUAGAACCCCCCUAUGGAAUGCAUGGGAUGGGUCAUGGGACAGUCUUAUUAUCUAUAACCCACAAUAUGAUGUGCCACCCUUCCCCCCACCACAUGCACAGACUUACCUAUGCCUGCAAUUCUGUUAGAAAACGCUGACUGAAGGGUAAAGAGGGGGUUGGAAGAGGCAGGAGAUGAGACUGGAAAGUGGUAGGACAAGGCCACUCCAGGCUGAAGAACAUGGCCCCAGGACUGUGAAUCUGAGAACUUGCUACCUAAGCCCAAACUGUCCUAAAAUCCUGCCCUAAAGCCCCAGAGAAGCCCCACGUGUUAGCCCCGGGGGUGUGACCAGAGUGCAUGAAGGCACCCAGAGCUGGGCCUGGAGUCCUGAGCUGGCAGUUUCCAGCCCUCAGCCCACCCUGACUCACCAGCGUCCUCCCUGCUCCGAGCCUUUCCCUGUCAGGGCCAGAGCACUGGAAGUGUUCUGACUGUAAUCUACCAGGUCCUUGCUUGUGCUGGAGCCAGCCCAGUGUUCCCUUUCACUUCCUCUCUGUCUCACAAACUCCUACUCAUCCCUUCAGGCCCCAGUUUGUUGUCACUUCCACCAGAAAGUCUUCUCCAAUGCUCUUGGGGACUUGUGGCCCCUUCUGCAGGCCCUGAGCUAGGCUUAUCCCCUCCCCCACACCUCGGUGGCAGAUUCAUUGAGUUGAAACACGUGGAGUACUAUGAAUAGUGGCCAAGCACUGAGCAAGUGGCCAUAGAUGUCAGCAGGUAUUCUCAUCACCACCCCUGCUCUGCAGAGGAGGAAACGGAGCUCAAGGCAGCAAUAACUUGUCCUGAUCCCACAGCGCAUCAGUGGUGGAGGCAGGAUUUGGACCCCGACUCCAGGGUCUUCCCUCCCAGCCCUCCUGUUUGUCCCCACCUUCCUGUCGCCACUAAACUCAACCCCCCAUGCCAUUACCUACCUGCUCCUAUGAUUCUUCCUUCCUGUCAUCACAUCACUCCUUCUGCUCCAGUAUCUUUUCAUCAUCCCGUGUACAGGCUAUAAAAUCUCUAAUCCUACAAAAUCUAAAUACCAUCACCCAUUGCCCUCCAGCUGCCAUCAUGCACCUGUCCCCUUUGUAGGAGCUCUUGGAAGUGCUUACACUCACAGCCUCUACUCAGUCUUCUCCAGGUCUCUCCAGCCUCCUCUAAUCAAACUUUGACCUUCCACUGAAAAUCUUGAGCAGAAACCAUUUUUCUCAAGGUCCCAGGUGACCUUAUGUUGCCAGAUCAGCUGGACUUGAUGCUCAAGCUCAUUUUUUUCCUCUUCUAAACUGUGUUUGAGCCAGGUGUGAUGGCACACGCCUGUAAUCCCAAAGGCUCUGGAGGCUGAUGCAGGAGGAUCAUGAGUUCAAAGCCAGUUGCUGAGGCGACUUAGCAAGGCCCUAAGCAACUCAGUGAGACCCUGUCUCUAAAUAAAAUAUGAAAAAGGACUGGAGGAGCUACGGCUGUAGCUCAGUCGCAGAGCGCUUGCCUAG
rnacentral:lncRNA from 1 species